rnacentral:lncRNA from 1 species
UCAUUUCUUUCCGUUUUAAAUUUCUUACUUGUAUCUCCAACACAAGGAAAUUGGAACUAUAGAGGAUUAUAUGUAGCGAUUGUUGGUGAUUAUAUAUAUCUACUUGUUUGUUUUCCCUGCACCUUCUAAAUACUUGCAUCAUAUGCUUUCAUGUCGUGAUGUACUUUUUUAUAUAUCUCCGAUUCUCCAUGCAGUAAUUAACCACUACGGUCUUUUUACACCAACAAAUUAUAUGAUAACAUAUAGAAACAGUUCAUUGCUUCCGUAAUAUCUGCCUUGGUACAUGUUCUCUUGUAUCACUACAAAACCUUUCACGUCCAACAAUGUGAAAGCAAAUUCUCUGUAAUAGAAAUGGACAUCUGCUAGCGACAUUUCAGAUAAUAAUAAAGUGUACUUAUGCACCAUCUGGUUGGAAGGAAUGAACGGGAAAAACAUGAACAAAAUCAAAGGUAAACGAGAAGUAUACAAGAGUGAAGAGUGAUGAAGAACUAGAAAGUGCAGACUUUAUUAUGAGUUUCACAAUAUAAUGAGUAAAAUAUAGGAAUGAUCAUUUAUCCCUAUAUUGGUAAGAUUGAGAUAUUAGUUUUUUUUUGUGUGCCAAACUAGUACAAAUUUCAUUUCAUUCUCCCUAAACGUAAUUCUUCCAACAAAAUGGGGCAUUACAUAAAGGUAUAAAGAUGAGGAGAUUAAAGAUUGACAGCUGCGAUAAGGGAAGGUAUGGAAAACAUGUGUAACUAUAUAAAUGUCGAACACCAAUAAGAUCCAAAUAACUCAGAUAACAUCCAAACUCAGUAACAAAUUGGUUAACAGAUAAAAUUCAGAAGCGAAUGCAAAAUAGUUUAUAAAAUUAGAUUCUAAGAUUCAAAAUUUCUAGUAUUCAGAUUAUAUGCAGAUGAAAGAGGAAGGGAGAUUUAUUGAAUAAUUUAGGCUUGACAAAACACAAUAAAAUGAUACACAUAGACUAGUAUACUCUAAUACUUAAUGAGCAGCAUAUAUUCUUAUUCUUAACUACCGUCUAUUCUAUUAUAUCAAAGAAACAUAAAUUAUUGCAAAGCUGUAAAUUCACAUUAAGAAGCUUAAACAAAUUACACAACUAGAAAUCAACCACUCAAAUUGGAUAUAAUUGGAUAAAUAUCUAAAGAGAUCAUAACUAAGAACCCUAAUUUCAAAGUUAUAAAUGUAUGUAUAUAAAUGAUUCAAAAAUCAGAACUCUGUAACACAAAAAAGCUAGCUGAACUGAGAUGAAGUAGAAAGCAGCAACAAAACAUUUAUGAAUUAAAUAUCUAAAGCUGAUCUAAUUACAAACAUCAACUCACAGUUAUCAAGAGGGGUGUAUUGGAUUGGGAUUUUAAAUCAUUUUUUUGCAUUCAUGAAAUCCGAGGGUAUUCGAUUGAGAUUAUUUGAAAUGCAUUAAAAUCUUGGGGUAUUCAAUUGGGAUUUUGAAUUAUGCUACAAAAUCUGGUGGUAUUCAAUUGGGAUUUUAAAUUAUGCUUUAAAAUCCGGUGGUAUUCAAUUCGGAUUGUUUAAAAUCCAUUAAAAUCUGAUGGUAUUCAAAUGUUGUCGGAUUUUUUUUCAUUUCAUAAAAUGGUGGAUUUUGUGGCAUUGUUCGAUGUAUUUUAAGUUUUAUGAAAUCCCACCAAAAUCAAUGGGAUUUUGAAGCAUUGUGCUUAAAUCCUAUCAACUCUGCGACAUUUCAUCAAGAAUCCGCACAAAAUCAAAAUCACAUGCAAUCCAUUAAAAUCCAUAGACUAAAAACAAUCCAUUAAAAUCUCAAUCGAAUACACCCCCGCAAUUUAUUAAUCAGAUGAGAGGAAGGAAGGGAGAGGGUCAGAGGGAGAGGGAGAGGGAGAGAGAGAGAGAGAGAGGAGUUACAGUGCUACGGCGACGUUCAGCGGCGAUGGAGAAGCCAAAAGCGACCAAGCAUAGUAUUAUUACAAGAAGAUGAACGAGAGAUGAGCCUUUCCCUGCCCCCAUUAUUGUUUCUAAGGGCAUCUUUGAUCACAAUUUCAAGCUUCAUAUUUUUUUCACUUUUAAUUUUAUAGAUAGAUUAAUCAAUCUCCAAUCAUCCAUUUAUCUUCCUAUGUAAAGUCAUUUACUAGAUAAAUUAUAUUAUUUUAUAAAAAAAAAUUAAAUAACGAAAUAUAUGAUCUUUCUCGGAUGAAGAUAACUUGCAAAUUUAAUGGUAUAGUUUAGAAAUUGGGGUUGAGAAGUACCAGUAGUUAUGCUAUAUUUACCUGAUGAUCUCGUAUCGUAACUUUUUUUACACGUGGGAUUUUUUUGCUUACAGCUCAUACUCUAUAACACACUUCCGCCAUUUCACAUGUGACUUCAUCUUUUGACCAGGGUUCUGUAAAUAGAAUUUUGAGCAAGAUCCCCUUAAUACAUAACUGAAUAAACAACACUCGUAGAGAUGAAUUCUGCUGGCGGAACUAGGGAAGAAACCCUAGCUUAGUCAAAGUUUUUUUUUUCUUCCAGAUAUUUGUUUUUUUUCAGAUAUUUUUUUAUUUGAGCUCUUAAAAAUAACAGUGAACCAAUAAAAAGUAUUUAUUGUGCAAAUUUUAAUUCUAGAUUAUUUUGAUUCAUGUCAUAUUGUCAUUGACUAACAGGCCAAAGUCAUUUUGUUAAUGGGCUCUAUUUUCUUGACCAAAAUCAUACUGUUUCCCCUACUAUUAUCCUGAGCCCAUGUUUUCAAAUUUCAAUUACGCCCAACCACCAGUCCAGAGUAGUUGUUGUUGGGCCACAAGGUAACCAUCCAAUGUCUAAACUAAUCAUAGUCCAAAUAAAAUUUUUUCAUAAAAACUGCGUGUACGUGAAUCCAGGGCAGAGGACUGAACAUGACUCCACUUGAGUUGAGCAAGAAAACCGCAAUCAUAUAUCUUUGAUUUUUAAAAUUGAAAACCGCAACCGUCAAUCGGGGUCGGUUUCGGUUUCGGUUUAAGAAACUUCGAUUCGGUUAAUAGUCGGCUCGGUUUCGAUUACAAAAUCGACAAAUAUAAGAAUGAAAAAUAGUACACAAACGAGACAAAUUAAUGCACGUAAUCUAGACAUAAUAAUUAAUAUAAUAUUAAAAUUUAACAAAAGUAACCGUAUUUUAUUUAAAACACUCUUGCCAGUAAUAUAAAACUAGUCUUAGUCAGAAUUUUCAUACAGAAUACGAAUCAGAACUUCCGGCUGAUUGGCUUUUUUAACACAUGCUUCAUGAAGAUUGAGAAAAUGUGACAGGGAAAAUAGGAAAUACAGAUUGGCAGUGGCCAGUCAGCAUGAGAUAUUCACUGAACAUCAAAUAUUAACAUAGACGGAUGUUUCUGUAAGUGUUAGAAUAGAUUUAUUAUAUUUAUUACAUAUUACAUAUAUUAUUUAUUAUUAUUUUAAUAACCGGUUCCGUUUGGUUUUUAUUGGUUCGGUUGGGAGGUAUAACCGGAACCAAACCGUUUAAAUCAGAUCAAUUUUUAAUUUUUCGGUUUCUAAUUGGUUUUUUUGAGUUUUUCCAAAUUUCGAUUCGUUUUGAUUUUAAAUCGGUUUUUUGCUAAGUCCUAAAUUAAGGUAUGGGUUCAAUUAUAGACAAGGUUAAGCUUACUUUUUAAAAAGUCUAACAUCACAAGUAAAUGGUUCACAAGUAAAUGGUCUUAAAACUAUAAAGAAACCAGGAUUGAAGCUCAAAAAUUAUCACCACUACACCCUUUUUUCGUGGUGCAACAAAUUUGGCCUAAAUCAAACGCAAAUCAAACGCAUUUAUACAAGACAAAUGACAGUCUUAAUAUAGGAUUACCCCAUUUUGGUUCAACCAUGAACACUGUUUGAACUAUGCGAUAGUUUCUUUACUAAAAUAUACUUCAGACUCUGGAACUGGAAGGACUAUGGGCCACUUAAAUGCAGCAUAUAUCUUGCAAUUUGAGCUCGAUAAUGGCAAAUUCCAAAUGCAAUCUAUCCACACAUUACACUCAAGUGCGAAAGAAUGAUCCAUGUAUUUUAAGGGUUUUGGUUCCUGGCAUGUGUACAUCAGGGAGUACUUAUAUAACAUACUGAUUUUGGAUCGUUGGAUGAUAUAUGCAUCUAACGGACAUAAUUAUAAAAAAAAUUCGUCAUGCUCAAUUUUUUUUUAUUUGUUUUUUUGCAUAUGAUAUGUAACUUGAAUAAUAAGAGGAAGGGGGAAAGUGAUGCAACUGCAAUUGAAGAAGUCAGUAGUCACUUAUUUAAAUUUCAAAGUACAAAGCCCAAAUAAGCAAUUUCCAAAGAGCUAAGCAAUGAAGGGCCAAGAAAUGGCUAGCUACUGCUAAAGAAAGCAAGUCCUCAUUCCUUGAUCAGAAGAGAUAAGGCAACCGCUCUCAUGCCACGUGUCAACUCAAUAAGAGUGUUUAAUGAUAAGGCAACCAAUCCAAAUUGCUCACACUGUGUGGCUACCAUGUUGCCUUGUCAACUUCACUGUAAUUCAAUGGUCAGAAAAAUUCUGAACUUUAGGAGGUGAAUUGGGAACCAUUGGAUCAGCAGGUUAAACGAUAAUGAGAUGAAAUGCCUAUAUAUUGGAUAGGUGAAGGAACAGAAGCAAGCCUCUCAAACACAAGAGAAGAAAGUAAAAGAACAAGAAGAGAGUAUUAGUACUCAUGGCUUCUUCAAUGAUAUCAUCAGUAGCACCGGUUACCCGUGCAUCCCCUGCUCAGGCUAACAUGGUCGCGCCUUUCACCGGCCUCAAGUCCAUCGCAUCAUUCCCCGUCACCCGAAAGCUUGAGAAUGACAUUACCUCUAUUACCAGCAACGGAGGAAGAGUUCAAUGCAUGAAGGUAUAUAUCUAUACUACUUAAUACUCAGAUAUAUUAUGUGCUAAUGAGGAACCAGUAUAACAUGGCAGAACAUUUCUUAGUUAGUUAUUGCUCAUUUGCUCUCAAAGUAGCACAAUUCUAAGUCAGAUAAAGCAGUCCUAGGUAACUUUAGAGUGAGUAACUUCAGAAUUUUCCUUGAAUAUGUCAAUAAUAUACAAAAAUUAUGUCAACACCUCGAUUAAAAGAUUGUUUUGCUUGUAUUUUCCUCCUGAGCUGAUCUGAGAAAUUUUGUUCUCAAGUCAAACAAUUAGAGACUUUAGCUCAAGAGAAAUGUCACCCCCUGGCAUUGUAGCCUGCGGGAUGUCCUCUAUAUUUUACCAUAGUAACCAUGUCGCCCCUCAAGUGAAGUAGAAUUUAAUUCAAUAAUGAAAUUGAACUACCCAGUAGAGGAAAUUUCUAGUUUUUUUGUAUAAUUUCCACCUUAGCUUGCUCUUAGUAACCCCCCUCAGUCUCAUUAAAUAGUCGGAAAUGUAUAUUCUUAUGAAGACAUGAUCACGUUCUUCAAAUUUUGCAAUCCAACACUGUUUCUAGACAAAUAUACAAUCUGUCGGUUUGUAAUUGAGUAAAUAUGACAUUCACAAAAUAUAUCAAGGAGAACACACCUUGGUUCUGAAAGUGAAUGAUAAAUUAGUUAGGUAACAUAUGUGAAUGGUGCAAGUGCAGGUAUGGCCACCAAUUAACAUGAAGAAGUUCGAGACACUCUCAUACCUUCCUCCUCUCACCACCGAACAAUUGGCAAAGGAGGUCGACUACCUUCUCCGUUCCGGAUGGGUUCCUUGUCUGGAAUUCGAGUUGGAGGUAAGCACUUUCUUCCUACACAUUUUUCAUGUUCUCUGUUACAUGUUUCUUGACAUUGCUGAUGACAAUUGUGUGUUAAACCAAUAUGCAGCACGGUUUCGUGUACCGUGAGCACAACAAAUCUCCCGGAUACUAUGACGGACGAUACUGGGUUAUGUGGAAGCUUCCCAUGUUCGGGUGCACCGACUCAUCGCAGGUGUUGAAGGAGCUUGAUGAGUGCGUCAAGGAGUACCCCCAGGCGUACGUCCGUAUCAUCGGAUUCGACAACGUUCGCCAAGUCCAGUGCAUCAGUUUCAUUGCUCACCAGCCAGAAUGCUGAUCAAUCUGUCUGUUGAUUUCAUAUAUUUAUCAAUCUUGUUCGGCUCAUAUAUAAACUUCUUGCAAUCUCAUUUCAUUUCUUUCCGUUUUAAAUUUCUUACUUGUAUCUCCAACACAAGGAAAUUGGAACUAUAGAGGAUUAUAUGUAGCGAUUGUUGGUGAUUAUAUAUAUCUACUUGUUUGUUUUCCCUGCACCUUCUAAAUACUUGCAUCAUAUGCUUUCAUGUCGUGAUGUACUUUUUUAUAUAUCUCCGAUUCUCCAUGCAGUAAUUAACCACUACGG